rnacentral:tRNA from 1 species
GUAGUCGUGGCCAAGUGGUUAAGGCGAUGGACUGAACCAUCCAUCGGGGUUUCCCCGCACAGGUUCGAAUUCUGCCAACUACG